AUUGAACGCUGGCGGCAUGCUUUACACAUGCAAGUCGAACGGCAGCGCGGGCUUCGGCCUGGCGGCGAGUGGCGAACGGGUGAGUAAUACAUCGGAACGUGCCCAGUCGUGGGGGAUAGCUCGGCGAAAGCCGGAUUAAUACCGCAUACGACCUGAUGGUGAAAGCGGGGGAUCUUCGGACCUCGCGCUAUUGGAGCGGCCGAUGGCAGAUUAGCUAGUUGGUGGGGUAAAGGCCUACCAAGGCGACGAUCUGUAGCUGGUCUGAGAGGACGACCAGCCACACUGGGACUGAGACACGGCCCAGACUCCUACGGGAGGCAGCAGUGGGGAAUUUUGGACAAUGGGCGAAAGCCUGAUCCAGCAAUGCCGCGUGUGUGAUGAAGGCCUUCGGGUUGUAAAGCACUUUUGGCGGGAACGAAAAGGACUGUGCCAAUACCACGGUUCGAUGACGGUACCCGCAGAAUAAGCACCGGCUAACUACGUG
rnacentral:rRNA from 1 species